AUGCAAUAUAGAUCUGCUGCACAAACGCACGUGCAGGAUGCACUUCAAGGUUGACCCUUGUAGUAGGCGUUUCCGAGGAGACGGGAUGUGACACGACAGGACCUCCCCUGCUCAGUUAUUGGAUGCAUAGUUAGAGGGCGUAGAUGAAGCAGAACUGGCUGCCAUGAAGCAAUAAACGCCAUUUUGCUGUACACUACAUAGGGGUCUGUGUGCAGUUGAUUGGCCCUGGCCUGGUUUGGGGCCAGUUUCGCUGGAUGUGAUGAUCGCGGUCCGGGGUUCAGAGAAUCACGUGACAACAACCCUCUUCCAGUAAGCAGAGCUGUCUGAUAGAGCUGUAUGCCCUCUGCAAAGUCAAUUGCAUUACAUUAUCUGCACCCCUGAAGUGUGUACUUAAACAUCUGUUGUAAGGCUGGAAAUGUGGAAGGAUAAAAACCUUAAAGCCCAGGGAUGUAAUUCCCCACACGGUGGUGCUCUGUGGCUGCUUUAUGCUAAACCACUCAAUCCAGUCCGACACCAUUCAUCUGUCAGCACAGAAAUGUAAUGGGAAGCCCACUAGAUAGCACCCUAUACAUGUGUUUCUCCCCUCUUAAUCUGUUCCACUAUAAUCAAUUAAAAAUCAGAUGAUAAAGAAGUUUUCAUCCCUCUUCCGACAGUCCACCAAACCCAUUUUUAUGAAUGCUCUGUUGCUGGAAGCAGGUCCACCAACAUAUGCAUGUAUAUAGGUUUUUAAAAGUGUAGCCAAGCUAUGAAUACCUACGUAGCUUUCAAAUGCUCACAAGUGGAGAACCAAGUUUCCAAGCGCAGCACCUUCCAACGAUUAGAUCUGCCAGCGGUGGCCUGAAGCAACAGUUUAGGGGUGCAUGGUUCCUGGCCGUGGUGUGUGACCCACCUUUUCCUUCAAGGAAGAGAAGUUGUGCAAUGGGAAUGGUCCCUGGGAGCAGUCAGGUCUGGUUCCCUCCUCCCUGCUCUGCCUUUGCAGUGAGCUGUUCCCCAGCAAGGCAAGGGGUGCAGUCAGAAGAGGUCGUGUUUUACUUAGAGGGAAAGACCUGAACCCAGUCAGAAAUAUUAGCACAUUUCACUGUUAUUUCUUCCCAUAGACCUGCUUUGUUCCAUGGAUUGAGGCAGAAAUCUACUUUUCCUUUUGACAUCGAUGUAGAGAUUUCACGCACGCCCCCAGCGUGCAGGGAGAUUUGGUUUGGUGCCUUUAUCCUGUUGCUGCCUUUCAUUGAUUGGCUGGUUGUGUGCAUUCGGAGCUUCCUGGGCCAAGCAUUUAAAUGCUCUUUGGAUUUCUGAACUCUGAAUAGCACAGACUGGAUUUACUCACACUGUGUUAAGGGUGCAUGAGCUGUGACAGCCCUUGAUGCUAUAGAUCUGUCUCUGGUUCCUGUGAGACUGCAGCACUCAGAGCUCACUGGCUCAUGUCCAUCCGCCCACUGCAUUUCUACCUGCUGGUUUAGCCAUCUUAUCUCACCUCGCAGCUGAGCUUUGCCAUUUCCCACAGUGGGAGGUGCCUCAGAUUAUGCCUUUAUCCACAUCCUAUCUGCCAGCUCCUGAUUAUGUGGGAGCUGUCAGGAAAUAAAACUGCCAUUUCAAAGUAUUCAGAAACGGUAUCAUUUUUCAUAUGUCUGUCUGUGUGUGGGGUUCUUCUGUAAGUUUCUUUACAUAUUUAUUCUGAUAUUUUGGGAUUUGGACACUUUAUUUGAAACUAAAAAGGUUUAGAAAUAAAUAUAGCAAAAAAUUCAUUUGAAUCAUAGAAUGGCCUGGGUUGAAAAGGACCACAACGAUCAUCGAGUUUCAGCGCCCCUGCUAUGUGCAGGGUCACCAACCAGCAGCCCAGGCUGCCCAGAGC
rnacentral:lncRNA from 1 species